CUGCUGUUGAUUACGUCACAAUGAUGAGCUUCCACUUCAUGGUCCGUGUUUUUGAAACUUUGUGAUAUUUACGAAGUUCUGAGUUUGAACAACAAGUUAAGUUGUAAAUACAGUUUUCAGAAUUUGAAAUAUGCUAAUUUUAUUCUUAAUGCCUUAUUAUUCCAGCCUGCUCAUGCACAAGAUGACCAACACAGACCCGAGUAAGAUUCUGACUAGUGACAUCCAGAUUGCACUUUGUACGCCAAGAAGAUGAUCAACCACAGUGAUGAAGAAGAAUCCUAUGCAGAACUGAAGAUAAUGCUCAAACUGAACCCUUAAUGUCAAGACAGCAAGAAGUCAUGCCAUCCUCAAGCAUGACCCAACUGUAAGAACCUAAAGUUCAAGCUUGAAGCAAAUAUUGUAAACUUGAUGUGACUUUGAAAUCUCCAUAGAUCAAGGCCAAGAUGCUGAAACCCAAGAAGUCCGGAAAGGUGGGUGAGCCUGCCAAACCCGAGGGCAUACAUCUACAGACUGGAGUUCAGUGAUAAAUCAAUGUUGUUUCAAAUGA